CAGUUCCCAUACGAUCACUAAAGUUAAGCAGCAUCAAGCUUGGUUAGUACCAAGAUGGGUGACUGCUUGUGAAUAACAAGUGCUGUCAG